AAGAACUCUUUGGUGGUUCCCAAUUGUACAAGCUUUAGGCGAAUCAUCCGCGGAGAUGACUAGUGGUAAGCGCUACCUGAUGAUGACUGCGAUGGUGCUGAUGAUGACGACUGCAGUGCUGCCGGCGAAGGUGAAAGGAAGACUUGCCGUUCCAAGAAUCUCCCAGAUACCAUUGUCAAGAGCAUAACUCAACCAGACUGUAGUCCUUGCUAUGUUCUCGACAACAAUGGAGAAUGUAAACUAGAUGUGACUUGCAUGCACCUGGGACGAAAACCACUCUUGUAAUUCUAUCAUGGACGAAUAAUGCACUAUAUUUUAAGCCCUUGUUGAAGCAUUAUUUUAUGAGCCUGUCCCCAUCUGCUCCCUUUUUAUUGUUCACUUUUGUUCCUGAUUAAGACAACCGGGAUACUAAUGAACGUGUAAAACAAGAUUUCCUAUAUUCUUUUCUCUAUAUGAUUUAGUAGAAUAGUCAAGAGGAAAUAUUGGUUUCUAAUGCAUCUUGCAUAUUAAAAACUCUGCUUUCCAAAAAACAUAUUGUGUGUAGCCAUACUUUUGCCUUCUAUGUAGUAACUUUUACAAACACCAAAUACACUUUUCUAUGGAAAUAGU